rnacentral:rRNA from 1 species
CGUGUAGGCGGUUCAAGCAAGCGGCGUGUGAAAUCCCGGAGCUCAACUCCGGAACUGCCCGCCGAACUGCUGGGCUAGAGGACAGGAGGGGGUCAUGGAACUCUAGGUGUAGCGGUGAAAUGCGUAGAUAUCUAGAGGAACGCCGGUGGCGAAAGCGGAUGGCCUGGCCUGUAUCUGACGCUGAGGCGCGAAAGCGUGGGUAGCAAACA